rnacentral:rRNA from 1 species
UACGUAGGGUGCAAGCGUUGUCCGGAAUUAUUGGGCGUAAAGAGCUCGUAGGCGGUUUGUCGCGUCUGCUGUGAAAACUCGGGGCUUAACUCCGGGCCUGCAGUGGGUACGGGCAGACUGGAGUGCGGUAGGGGAGAAUGGAAUUCCUGGUGUAGCGGUGGAAUGCGCAGAUAUCAGGAGGAACACCGAUGGCGAAGGCAGUUCUCUGGGCCGUAACUGACGCUGAGGAGCGAAAGCGUGGGGAGCGAACAGG